rnacentral:sRNA from 1 species
UGGGGCUGAGAGUUACGAACUUCUCCCUUCCCUUUA